rnacentral:rRNA from 1 species
GAAGCAGCUUGCUGCUUCGCUGACGAGUGGCGGACGGGUGAGUAAUGUCUGGGAAACUGCCUGAUGGAGGGGGAUAACUACUGGAAACGGUGGCUAAUACCGCAUAACGUCGCAAGACCAAAGAGGGGGACCUUCGGGCCUCUUGCCAUCAGAUGUGCCCAGAUGGGAUUAGCUUGUUGGUGAGGUAACGGCUCACCAAGGCGACGAUCCCUAGCUGGUCUGAGAGGAUGACCAGCCACACUGGAACUGAGACACGGUCCAGACUCCUACGGGAGGCAGCAGUGGGGAAUAUUGCACAAUGGGCGCAAGCCUGAUGCAGCCAUGCCGCGUGUAUGAAGAAGGCCUUCGGGUUGUAAAGUACUUUCAGCGGGGAGGAAGGUGUUGUGGUUAAUAACCACAGCAAUUGACGUUACCCGCAGAAGAAGCACCGGCUAACUCCGUGCCAGCAGCCGCGGUAAUACGGAGGGUGCAAGCGUUAAUCGGAAUUACUGGGCGUAAAGCGCACGCAGGCGGUCUGUCAAGUCGGAUGUGAAAUCCCCGGGCUCAACCUGGGAACUGCAUUCGAAACUGGCAGGCUUGAGUCUUGUAGAGGGGGGUAGAAUUCCAGGUGUAGCGGUGAAAUGCGUAGAGAUCUGGAGGAAUACCGGUGGCGAAGGCGGCCCCCUGGACAAAGACUGACGCUCAGGUGCGAAAGCGUGGGGAGCAAACAGGAUUAGAUACCCUGGUAGUCCACGCCGUAAACGAUGUCUACUUGGAGGUUGUGCCCUUGAGGCGUGGCUUCCGGAGCUAACGCGUUAAGUAGACCGCCUGGGGAGUACGGCCGCAAGGUUAAAACUCAAAUGAAUUGACGGGGGCCCGCACAAGCGGUGGAGCAUGUGGUUUAAUUCGAUGCAACGCGAAGAACCUUACCUGGUCUUGACAUCCACGGAAGUUUUCAGAGAUGAGAAUGUGCCUUCGGGAACCGUGAGACAGGUGCUGCAUGGCU